AGGUAGAGGCGCUUCCGGUUGGCCCUGAGUUGGGUGGCGGUGCAACCUUGUUGUGAGCUGGGCGGUUCAGAGCAUCCCGGUGGAGACAGAGUCGGGGUGAGAGAGGGCUUACCGGGAGCCGGGGAGGACACAGGGGAAGGGGUGAGGGGGGCGUUUGCACAGCCUCGGGACAGCUGCGGGUGUUUGGCGCUGGGCGAAGAGGGAAAGCGCGAGUGUCCGCGCACGGACGGCCCCAGGAUGUGCCCAGCGGCCUGGACACACUCGCUGUAAAAAUCUACUCUUCAGGGCGAAACUUCCAAGCUAGCCGGCCCGGGAGAAACCAUGAAGAAGCAGUUUAAUCGGAUGCGGCAGCUCGCCAACCAGACUGUGGGAAGAGCUGAGAAGACUGAGGUGUUGAGUGAGGACCUUUUGCAGAUUGAGAAACGCAUGGAUGCAAUAAGAAUAAUUUCCCACAAUGCCCACAAACGACUCGCUGCAUGCUUGCAGGUUCAGCAAGGUGUAGAAGUGGAAAAAAGACAGAAAAAGUUGCCAUUGAUGGCUCUCUCCCAAAGUAUGCAGGAAGGAAUUGCCUUAAUCGGAGAUGACUCUCUCAUUAUGAAAUUGCUGGAAACGUGUAGUGAAGCAGAACAUAAACUGGCGUUUGAACUUGCCUCCUAUGAAUCUCAAAUUGAGAGAGAUAUCCUUGAUCCAUUCAAUAACUUGGCAGAAGUGGAGAUUCCUAACAUUCAAAAGCAGAGGAAGCAAUUGGCUAAACUAGUACUAGACUGGGACUCGGCAAAAAUGCGGUAUAAUCAAGCAAACAAAGCUGCAUUUUCAGGAGGCAAUUUCCCAGCAAUAGCAGCAAAAGUUGACUCACUGAGGGAGGAAAUGGAUGAAGCUGGAAAUAAAGUGGAGCUGUGCAAGGAUCAACUUGCAGCUGAUAUGUACAACUUCAGUUCCAAAGAAAGUGAUUAUGCAAGAUAUUUUGUAACGUUAUUAGAAGCGCAAGCAGAUUACCAUAGAAAAUCACUAAAAGUCCUAGAGGGUGUUCUGCCUACAAUCCAAAACCAGCAAGAUACAUGGACGGAGAAGCCUGCAUUUGGAACAGCAUUAGAUGAACAUCUCAAACGUAGUGGUCGUGAGAUAGCACUCCCUAUCGAAGCAUGUGUAAUGAUGCUGUUGGAAACUGGUAUGAAAGAGGAGGGGCUGUUCCGGAUUGCUGCUGGAGCCUCUAAACUGAAAAAGCUAAAAGCUGCGUUGGACUGCUCUGCUUCACAGCUGGAUGAAUUCUAUUCUGAUCAACAUGCUGUGGCAGGUGCCUUGAAAUCAUACCUGAGAGAGCUACCAGAACCAUUAAUGACAUAUCAGCUGUAUGAUGAAUGGGUCCAGGCUGCAAGCGUACCAGACAUGGACAAGAAGUUACAGGCCCUCUGGCUAACUUGUAGCAAAAUGCCAAAGUCAAACAAUUCCAACUUCAGGUAUCUUAUAAAAUUUCUCGCAAAGCUUGCGCAACAUAGUGACGUCAACAAAAUGACUCCUAGCAACAUUGCAAUUGUAUUGGGGCCCAAUCUACUGUGGGCUAAGAAUGAAGGAGCACUUGCAGACAUGGCAGCAGCUACCUCAGUUCAUGUAGUUACAAUCAUUGAGCCAAUAAUCCAACAUGCGGAUUGGUUCUUCCCAGAUGACUUGGAUUUCAAUGUGUCAGGCAUGUUUACACCAAUGACUCCUGCCAAUCACUUGAAUAAUCUGUCGUUGUUUGGAAAUGACUGUGAUAGUAGCACACUGGAGAGGAAGAGGCCUGUAAGUGUGGCUGCAGUUGAAGAUAUGCCUAAAAAAGACAGCUUGGGUCUAAAGAUUAUUGAACCUCAAUUGAAUCCUCGCAGAGCUGGCACUCUGAUCAGGAAGCACACAUGCCCAACAGUCCAGCCGCCUCCCCCUCCUGUUGAGGCUGUACAUAUUAGUGAGCAGCAGCCAUCAGGGUUGGGCCCUGACUCUGGCCCAGUAGCUGCUGCUCUUCCUACUACUGCUAGUGUGACUGAGCAUCAACCUCAAGAAACUGAUGAACACAGCCCUUCAAAGUCCAAAGAGCCUGCUAGCACUCCGCCACCUGUGAGAAUUGAUGCUAGCACAGCGAGUGCAGGCCCGAGCCUGUCGCAACCAACUGGCACGGUGCCCCCUCAACUCAACAUCGCUGCAGGGUCGAAUGCGACUGGCCCUAGUCCACAUGUAGUCAGAAGAGCAACGAAAAAGCCUGCCCCCGCUCCUCCAAAACCUACAAAUCCACCUCCUGGGCAACCUGCAGGUCAUGGAACUAACCAGCUUGCUAGCCAAGCUUCCGUGCAUUCACCAAAGCAGCCUAACCAAGUUGCCAGUCCUUCUCUGAGUCAACCUGGAAACUGGAGUCCUGUUCAAUCACAUGGACAGUCAGUUUCUCAACCUACGAUUCAGCCACGCAGGCAUUCUAGUAAUCAAAUGGUUAUUCAUGCCCCCAGUCACCCACCACCUCAACCUCCAGCACAGCCUAUCAAUCCUUAUCCAUGUAAAGCACCUUGUGAGCAGGUGACAGAUCAGUCCUCCAGUAGCCCACCUGAUACACCAACUCCUCCCAGCACCCCUCCAUUAGGAUCUCACAAUACAAGCUUCCAUCUAAAUCAGCAUUUCCCACAUGGCCAGGUCUCCUCAGCAAAUCAGGACCUACAGCCCCAGCAUUCGCUUCCCCCACAGUUUGCCACCUUGCCAAGGGCACGGCCGGUACCAAAGCCAAGAAAUCGACCCAGUGUUCCACCACCUCCGCAACCACCUGUAACAUCCCCUGCAGCAAACUGUUCCAGUCCUGCAGAGCAAGCGUUACCGAAUGUGGCAACUACAGCUUCAAAAGUGGUUACUGGUUUGGGAGGACACUCUGCAGCGAGGUUUUCUGAAGAAGGGUCUAGACCUGAAACAUCAGUUUUCCUGCUCCUCUGAUGCUGCUUGGCCUGCUGUGUUCAUCCAGCUCUACGCUUUGUUAUCUCAGAUUCUCCAGCAUCUGCAGUUCCUACUAUCUCAGAGAAUUGUGGAUGUUUAAAGACUACAGUUACACCCAGUAAUAACUUAGAAGGUGUUCUGGGCCAUCAAAUUCCCAGUGACUUCUACUCAACUUAAAUGUUUUAGUGAAUUUGUUUAUUAACAUCUCCUGUACAAUGCUGAGAUAUCAUGAUCACACUUUGUGCUUAGCUCCAGAUUAGUUACGCAUGUCUCAAGGUGAUUUUAGUUAGGCAAUCAGGAUCACAAUACAAGUAAACCUUCUCACAUUGCUGACUGCUAAGCCUCAAUUUACUGAAAGUUCAAUCUUCAAAUUCAUACUCAUUGUUCCUAUGUCCAGUUUUUCUUUAAAUGUGGUACCUGAACAAAUCAGUAAAGAAAUUUAAUGAAAUAUAAUGAACUUCACAAUAGAAUAAAUAAUGGCAGCGUCGAUAGGCACAAAUAAGACUAAAAUGAUCGAAAAUUAAACUAAUAGAGGGCAGAUAGUGAAUUAGAAUGUUUAAAAUAUAUUAGUUUUUAAUUAUAAAACAAACCAUUCCCUUUUUAAGGUCAAAAUUUAUACUUGAAAAUUCUCAAAAAAAACUUCUUUUGAAGUAUUGUAAUUUGCAACUUUCCUGUAUUUGGAUCAAACUAUUGGAUGCAAUUUGCUGCUAGCAAGUAUAUUCUGACCAGAGAAAGCAUACAUGUAGCAAAUAAAAUGUUAUGAAUAAAUGCACACGUAUCUUUUCACAAAGUAUAAUUCUAGAAGAGUUUGCAUGCAUUGUUAUCUGCAUCUGUGAUGUUUCCUACCCUGUGAAACUUUGAUAUUCUGCCUAUUAAUGCUGCCUUUUUGUUUAGUGAGAUGAGGUGCUGCUUGUGCUAGGCAGGAAAAGCAAUUGCUUUCAGUGUACCUGGAUGUGUGGCAAUCCUGGUGGCUUUAUUGUUUGUAUAAUUUUAAAUCCAUCAUUCACAGAAUAUUUGUUGAGAUUAAACCAGAUUAAUUAAUCGAUGUCAGAAGAUUUGAAUUUAAGUAGCAGAAUGAGAAUUUCUUCAUGCCAUCCUGCUGUGGCAAAAUUUAAAUUUUAGCUGAUGGUUGUACCUGUAGGCUGCCGGACCCUUACAAGUCUUCAAUGACUGUCACAUGAGAAAAACUACAUCCAAGAACAGGUUGAUCCUUACCAGUAAUGGAUACAAUGAUCAUUGUUAGUGUGUAUCAGAGUUGGCAUUCCUCUACUAUAGUUGGCACAAACCUGUUAGAUAUUGCACACACAGUAUGUGUAAUAUGCAGACACUGUGGUUGUCUGCCAGAAUGAAAAAGCCUUUUUAGGACUAUGGCUUCUAAUUGUAAACUAUUCCAUUAAAAAAUGCAGAUGUCUGACCAGGAAAGUACUGUUUGAGCAGAAUGGGGAAAGUUAAUGAUUCUGAUUCUACUGUGCAAGAGCAGGACUUGAAACAGCCUGUGGAGUUAAUGCCUGCUGCAGGGAACCCGGAACUU